UGGAAAACAAUUUGACAAUAAAUUUCAUAUAUUGAAAAAAAAAAAAAAAAAUAAAUAAAUAAAUAAUAAAAAAGAAAUAUUAAAGAGGCCACAGUGGAUCCUUAAGGAAUGCUAUCUGAAAAACAAUGGCCUAGGGCAAAUGCUGUCCCAGGGCAGGUUGAAGUAGGGUGGUAGUGGUACACAAAAAAGAGGAAAAAUCCUUUGGCCCCACUUGGGGAAUUCAUGGAAAAAACAUGAUCCUUGUGUGAAGAAAGAGGCUUUGCCACUGAGUCAACUAAGGGUAUGUUGAUUCUGGAAAGCAAAUGAAGGAGGUACUCAAAAUCAUGAUGGAAACACCAAGAAAGAUGGGAAAUGAUGGGCAGGAGAGACUUCCUAGGCUGUGGGCCAGGUUGAAGAAGGCUCCUACAGGGCUGUCCACAAUUUCUAGUAAAUACACCCAGAGCUGAUGGGAGAGAGUGUUUUUCAGGAAUGUCUCAGAUUUUCUACUUUAAACCCUAGGGAAUUUCAGGAAACCCCAAAGAAACCCAGAGGUUGUGACUUUAUAUUUUCUAGGCAAUAAAUAAAUAUUUGUGGCAAAGUGAAAGCAAGCUUACUUGAAAGUUAAGUUUGGGACCAAUAAGAGAUAUAUAAAAAGCAAAACUGAAGUGCCUACUGUAUAUAUAAAGUAGACAACUUGUCCCAGUUUGUCCGGUACUUUCCUGAUUUUAACACUAAAAGUCCUAUCAAUUCUAAGCAAGUUGGGAUGGCUCAUUAUCCUAAUACAUAUCUAAUGCUGUGAGUCUUUCAGGAGUACAGAUACAUAUGCAAUGUAUGCUGCCUCAAUAGAUUAUUGUGUAGUCAUCCGUGACAUAAUAUGGCAACACAGAAAACUGAGCAAGUAACACAAUAAUAAUUAAAGGUUAAAGUUCUUUGACAUCAUGAUAUAGAUGCUGAAAAAAUGGAAAAAACUGAAAAUAAAAAUAGCCAAUAAUUACUGAAUAAUUUUCACAUGCCAAAGACAAUCUAAAGAUUUAUAUGCAUAUUAACUCACUUCAUCUUCAUAAUAAUGCUAUGAAGUCAGUACAGCCAUCAGCUCCAUUUUACACAUGAAGAAACUGAGGCACAAAUAAUUUCUAGCCAAGGUCACAUGUUUCAUAUGAUAGAACCAAGAUUAAAAUCUUUCCUGGUUUCAGAGCCCAAGCUCAAACCAUUACACUAUUAUGUCAGAUGAAGAAGGGCCUUGGCUUGCCACACUGAGAUGUUUUACCCCAAAGGCAGUAGGAAGCCACUGAACAGUUUUAAGCAGAAGACAGAUGUGAUGGGUGUAUAGUGUAUAGAGACAUUACCCCACCUCUAUACAGAGUGAAGGCAGAAGCCUAAGGAUGGGCAGGACUCAGUAGAGAAGGAAGAGGACUUCUCAUUGACAGGACCCACUUUUCUUUAUGCCCAUGGUACUCUAUGUUUAUCCCAUUCCAUAGCCAUUUUCAGGCUCACAUGUAACAAUGUGCUUCCAUGGGUAUCUUCCUACUGGUCUGUGAGCUCCUUAAAUGUAGGUUCCAUGUUUCAUUCAUCUUUGGUUCUUCAUGCCAGGAGCUGUGGCUGGUAUACUAUAGGCACUUAUUAAAUGUUUGCUGAAUAAACAAGGCACAAAGAUGGGAAUGAGCAUGGUAUGUUUGAUAAGUUGAGUCAACCUGAACAAAUUAGACAAUGGUAGGAAAUCAUACUGGAUAGGCUGAGAAGACCUACAGAACACAUUUAUAAAGAGAAAGGGAUAAUAAAGACAUGUGGGAGGGCAAUGGGGUCAAUGCUAAAAGCUGCGCUCUUUGCUUUACCUGCUGCUCAGGCUUCCUCCCUGUCGCUACCAGAAAGAGGUUCUAAAAUUCAGAUCCAGUCACACCUCUCCUCUUAAAACUGUUCAGUGGCUUCCCAUUGCCUUUGGGGUAAAAUGCCUUAGCAUGGCAUGCAAGGCCCUUCUUCAUAUGAUGCUUGCUUUUUCUCUUCAGCUUCAACUCACAUUUCUCCCCCUACAGCCUAUGAAAUAAAUUGUUUAGACUUCCAGAACUCAUUGCACGGAAUCCUGCCCCUAUUCUUAUGGUUGGGAUGUUUUCCUCCUUUCUUUUUUACAUGAUCAACUCUUACCCUUUAAGACCCAGACCAGGCACCACUUCUUCCGGGAAGCCCACCCUCACCUCCACUUCUCACCCAAGGUUGGCUUAGAUGUGCUCCUCUGAGCUCCCAGAGUGAUCUGUGCCAACCUGCCAUACUCUAAUGCAAAUGUUUGCCUUUCCCGUCUGCUUAGGGGCAAAUAAUGUCUUUCAUCUCGUUCCUUUAGUGCCUGGCACCAAGUAAAUACUCCAUAAAUAUUUAACGAAUUAAUUAAUAUAUUAAAGAGUACAUCACUCCCCAUUAAUCCUAAUAUUCAAUCCUUGGCUCUCAUCAACUACUUGGUAUAAGACCUUACAUGCUAUAAUUCAUAUUCAAUGUUCAACACCAUUUGGUUUAUCCUACCUCUUGGCACAGUCUUGAAAUAGAAAUGUGCUUAGAGAAUAUCAACUGGAGUAUUACCAAAGCACUGUAUUGAUGCCUAUCAUCACCCCAAAUUGGAGCAUGGAUCACGACAGGCUUCUGUUCACCUUCUGACCAAAUAAACAGCAGUUUCUGCCCCAAGGCCAGAGUUGGACUUCACUGUGAGUACAGUUCCUGGGCAUUCUUUGGUUUCCCAGCUGCAUAGCCUCUGCCUUGUACUUGACCCCUUAUCAACAUUACCCAACUGAUAUGCCAAAAAUGGGUUCUAAGAGCUGGGUUAUUAAUCCUUCAGCCUUUGGGGCUUUCAAGCAAGGCCUGUGAUAGUCCUGAGUCAGACAUUUGGGACACAGAUAUAGUUGCAGUUUCUGUCCUUCUCUCCCCAGUCCCUAUGUCAACCAGGUAAAAUACCCUAGAUAAUUCAGGCCUUCAGUCUACCUUCCACUCCCUCUGCUGCAGUCCUGGCCCAUUAUUUUUUUUUUGCUUUCUCCUCAUGGAAGAAACAGAAACUUCUAGGAUAACUUAUCUCUGAAAACAGAGGCAUCCCCAAAACACAGGUAUGGUUUCAGUUUCCCUGGGCUGAAGCAGAAGGGCAAGUGGCAGGGAGUGGAAGAGACAGUGAAAAUAAACACCUAUAGCAUCAAGAGUUCAUUUCCUUGGUAACAUGAAGUUAGCACUCUUGGCUGUAUGCUCUGGGGAUGAGAAGGAUGAGGCCCAGGAAGCACUUUCACUAUUCAAAAGAGGCGGUAUGGACUGGAGAAUGUGACUACCAGAAGACCAGGAGAGAAUUUCUUUUCCGAUGAUUAUUUUUCCAGGCUGGUAUAGCUGGAACCCAUGGGCAGUUAGAGGAAAGGAGCAAAUGAGGGAAAGAGAGACAUGCAAGUACAGGCAUCGGGGAAGAUACAGACUUAACUCUAGUUUUGACAAUAGUGAAUGGCAGACAAAUCAAGGUGAUGCCUAAAAUUUUACAUUUGAAUACUACUUUAAAGUUGACAAUAAAUUUCUUUCACCUUCUUCCCUUACACAGUCUGGGGGCAGGUAUGCAGGGAAUGCAUCUGGGGGUAAAGAACCACCUGAAAGAAUGAAAGGUAAGGGCACCCAGUAUUCACACAGGGCUGGAAUGGUACCCCUUUCCACCAGUCACACUGGAAAACCUCAUGAAUCACAGGAUAUUAGGUAGAGUACUCAGAAGAGUCUUGCCUCAGCAGGGGUAAAUAGUUAGCCUUAGACCAAGCACUGCUCUGGUCCUGCCUAAUAAAUUUUAUAAGAAAGACCUAAAAAGACCAAACUUUUUUCAAGUAACUUAACUGUGUCCCAAGACAAAGCCUAAGAAUAUUUAUAGGGGGGCACCUGGAUGGUUCAGUCAGUUAAGGGUCCAACUUUGGCUCAGGUCAUGAUCUAACGGUUCAUGAGUCCGAGCCCCGCAUUGGGCUCUCUACUGUCUGCAGGGAGCCUGCUUUGGAUCCUCUGUUUUCCUCUUCCUCUGCCCUUCCCCUGCUUGUUCUCUCUCAAAAAUAAAUAAAAAUUAAAAAAAAAUUUAAGCAUACUUAUAGGAGUAUAGAAAUAUUCAGCAACCAGCAAGGUAAAAUUCACAGUGUCUGGCAUCUAAUAAAAAACUACCAGAUAUACAAAGGAUCAGGAAAAUAUAACCUAUGAUGAAGACAAAAAGCAAUCAAAACUGACCCAUAACUGCCAUAGAUGUUAAAAAUAGUAGACAAGGUUUUUUUAAAUGGCUAUUGUAACUGUAUUUCAUAUGUUCAAAAGUUAAGUAGAGAAACAUAAGACAUAAAGAAAAAAAAAGAUCUUGCACUUCAAAAGAUGAAAAAUAUACUGGGUUGUAUCAAAAGUAGGUUAAACACUGCAGAAGAAAAGAUUACUGAACUCAAAAACACAGCAAUAUAGAAACUGUUCAAAUUGAAAUGCUGACAGAAAAAUAAUUUUUUAAAAUGAAGCCUCAGUGAGCUGUUGGGACAACUUUAAUAAAGCUAAUACCCAUGUAAUUGAAAUCCCUAAAGGAGAGUAUGGGGAGUAGAAAAGAUAUAAAAGAUUUAAAGAAAUAAUGGCCAAAAAAUUUCCAAACAUCCACAGAUACAAGAAACUAAACUCAACCCAAGAAACCCAAAGAAAAUUACACCAAGGUACAUAAAAGUUGAAUCAAACCAAGUGGGGAAAAAACAGAGAAAAGGAAAUCUUAAAAGGGGCCAGAGGAAAAAAAGACGUGCUACACACACACACACCAAAUAUAAAGAUUGACAGCAGACUCCUCAUCAGAAGAAUACAAGCCAGAAAAUAGCAGAGCAAUAUCUUUAAAGUACUGAAAGAGAAAAAUUUAGUCAGCUUAGAAUUCUUAUGCCCAGUACAAAUAUUUGUCCAAAAAAAGUGAAAAUAAAGACAUAUUAAGACAUACAAAUCUGAAAAAAUUCUUCACCAGCAGACUUACAUGACAAAAAAAUGUUAAAGGAAGUCCCUCAGGAAGAAGGAAAAUGGUAUCGGAUGGAAAUACAGAUCCACACACAGGAAUGAAGAACGUUAGAAAUGUUAACUGUAUGGGGAAAAAAUGUAAGUUUUUCUUAUUAUUUAAAUCUCUUUAAAAGAUAACAAUUUAGGGGUGCCUGGGUGGCUCAGUUGGUUAAGUGUCUGACUCUUGGUUUCAGCUCAGGUCAUGAUCACACAGUUUGUGGGUUCCAGUCCCUUGUCGGGAUCUGUGCUGCUGGUGUGGAGCCUACUAUUCUCCCAUUCUCUCUCUCUCUCUCUCUCUCUCUCUCAAUCUCUCUCUGCCCCCUCCCCCACUCACGCGCAUGCGUGCAUGCUCUCUCUCUCUCUCUCUCCCCCUCUCUCUCUCAAAAUAAAUAAAUAAAACUUAAAAAAAACAUAAUACAAACAUGUAUUAGUGUAGCAUGGGGUUUACAGCACAUGCAUAAGUAAAACAUAUGACAACAAUAGCACAAAGGUCACAAAGGGAGAAAUGGAAGUGUACUAUACUAUUGUAAGGUUCUUAUACUAUAUGUAAAGUGGCAAAACAUCAUUUGAAGGUGAACUGUAAUAAUUGAAGUCACAUAUUACAAACAACCCUAAAGCCACCAUUAAAGUAAAAAAAUAAAGAGUUACAGCUAAGAAGCCAACAAAGAGAUAAAAUGGAAUCAUAAAAAAUUAUUCACUUCUCAUCAUGAUAAGUGUACUCUUUAAUCCCCCUCAUCUAUUUUCCCCAUCCCCCCCACCCACCUCUCCUCUGGUAACAGUUUGUUCUCUACAGUUAAAAGUCUGUUUCUUGGUUUCUCUACAUCUUUAUUUCUUUUUUUUUCUUUCCUUGUUUGUUUUGUUUCUUAAAUUCCACAUAUGUGUGAAAUCAUAUGGUAUUUGUCUUUCUCUGACUGGCUUAUUUCACUUAGCAUUAUACUCUCUAGUUCUACACUAAAAGGAUGUUACUGCUUUCCAGGAGAUACUGAGGUUGGAGUGACUGCUAAUGGGCACAGAGUUUCUUUUGGGGGUGAUGAAAUUGUUCCAAAAUUAACUGUGGUGAUAUUUGCAUAACUCUGUGAAUACACUUGCAACCAUGGAAUUGUAUACUUUAAAAGGGUGAAUUGUGGGGCACAUCGGCGGCUCAGUUGGUUAAGCGUCCAACUCUUGAUUUUGGCUCAAGUCAUGAUCUCAUGGUUCAUGAGAUCGAGCUCUGUGAUGGGCUCUAUGCUGACAGCACAGAGUCUGCUUGAGAUUUUCUCUCUCCCUCUGUCUCUGCCCCUCCUCUACUUAUGGUCUCUCUCUCUCUGAAAAUAAAUAAAUGCACUUAAAAAUAAAUAAAAGGGUGAAUGGUAUGUAUGUGGAUUAUAUCUCAAUAAAUCUGGGGGUUUUUUAAGGAAAAAAAUAUUCAAUUAACCCAAAACAGGAAGAAAAAGGAAGAGAGAAAUAAUUGAGAAUAGAUGAAACAAAAUGGAAAAAAUAUAACAAGACAAUAGACAAACAUAUCAAUAGUCACAUUAAAUAUAAGUUAUCUAAACACUACAAUCAAAAGGCAGAGAUUGUCAGGUUGGCAAUCCCCAACUAUAUGUUGUCUACAAGGAAUGCACUUCAAAUGUAAAGACACAAAUAAGUUAAAAGUAAAAGGGUGGAAAAAAUAUAGCAUAAUAACACUAAUCGAAAGAAACUGGGGUGACUUUAUUAAUAUCAGACAUAGUAGAUUUCAUUGCAAAUCAUAUUACUGGGGAAAAAGAAAUUCAUUUCAUAAUGAUAAAGGGGUCAAUUCAUCAAAAGGACAUCAUAAUCCCAAACAUAUAUGCACCUACUAACAAAGCUUUAAAAUACAUGAAGCAAAAACUGAUACACUUUCAAGGAGAAGCAGACAAAUCCACAAUUACAAUCAGACAUUUAAUGUCCCUCUCCCAAUAAUUAAACAGAACAAGUAGAAAGGAAAUUAGUAAGGAUAUAGGAGAUUUGAAGACUUGACCUAACUGAUCUGACAUUUAUUAACACUCCACCCAACAAGAAAAAAAUGCAUAUUCUUUUCAAGUGCUCACAGAACAUUUACCAAGAUAAACCAUAUUCUGGGCUAAUAAGCAAGUCUCAAAAAAUUCAAAAGGAUAUAGUCAUACAAAAUAUCUUCUCUGAUCAUAACACAAUUAAAUUAUAAAUCAAUGAUAGAAAUAUCACUGGAAAAUCCCCAAAGAGUUGGAAACUAAAGAACAUACUUUUAAAUAAUUUAUGGGUCAAAGAAGGCAGUAUAAGUUUAUCAGGUACCUACAGGUGUUCUAGGCAUUGUAUUAGUCUCAAUAUACAUUAGCUCUAAGCUUCAGGAUACUGUAAGAUGGGCAUUAUUAAUUACAUUUUUCAAAUGAGAAAACUGAGGCUCAGAAAGAUAAAGUAACAUGUUUGAAGUAUGUUACAUGGCUAGACAAUGGCAAGUCAUGUCUCUGAAUAUAACCUCCAGGACUUUUCAUGAAACCAUGUACCUCUCUAAGACUCAGUGUAAAACUCUACUUCUUCUGCUUCUCUGCUACUUUGCAUUAUAUUUGUUCUUGUGCCUUUGAUUUUUAAAAUAUGAUGUUGUAAUUAUUCUUUUGAAACUAUUUUUUGUUUUGUUUUGUUUUAUUUUGUUUUGUUUUGUUUUAUUUUAUUUUGUUUUGUUUUGUAAUACACUUUCAAAGUGUACAUGGUGACUUCCAGAGAGAAUUACAUUCUCCUUGAAGGAAAGAGUCCUAUAUAACUCAUUUUUUCUAUUCCAACUACUCAUAAAUGUUCCUCUUAGGCACAGUGCUCUCCUUUAAACAGGUACUAAACCCCAAAGCUGUGCAGCCCAGCUCUUGUCAGUAGUAAUGGUUGGAAAUGGACAUUUACCAUAUCUCCUAAUGUAGGUAGUCCCCAGUUUAAAAAUGAGUAAUGACCUAAAAGUUUCUUUGUAAACCUCUUAUUUAGAACAGAGAAUAUAUUUUCCAUGUAAAUGGGAGUUAGAUUCCCAGGAUAAAAAUAAAGAAAUUCAGUUGUGCACAUAAUGUGCUUAAAAUUUGGUACUAACAUUGUACAUCAUGUACAAUUAGCCAACAUUUAUAACUAGGGUGAUACAGGAAAAUACUUUUUAGUUUUCAUCCUGGAGCACCAGGCACAUAUUUCUUCUCCACUUGCUGGUACUCACAGGGGAGGAAUGGGAUGGACUCUGGCAAUGGUAAAGUGGUCUUUGGCUGGAAGCAGUAGGAAAAAAGGAGGAAACUACUUCUUGGAACCAGUGAUGGGUUAGCCCACCACAUUACACCUGCUAGAAGGACAUCUUCCUAUGGCUUCCCAAAUAAGGCAACAAACACUAGUUGCCUUCAUUAAGGCAAUUUGUAUGUCCAAACAAGGAAUGUCUAAUGAACAUUCCUAAUCAGAUGCUCCUUAAAGUGGAGACUAUCUGUACAAAUACUCAGUCUAAUAAUUGGGACUAAUACCAGAAUAACUACUAUAGAUGCCAAUAUCUCCCAACACAAUAGUUUGGGUGUUGAGAUUAUCUCUGACUGAAUCACACUUAUGUACACAGUCACCACCAUGUCCCAACAUGUUCCUCUCUAUAUCUGGAACGCUUUAGCACCUUUUCCUAUUAACAAUAAAUGGUAUAUUUUCAGAACUCCAUAUUUUUUAAGUAAAUUUUUUAAGUAAAGUGUUAUUUUUCUAGAGUCUAAUUUUUAUGUGUUUAAGAAUGUACCUAGGUCUAGGAAUUCUGAGAAAGGAAUAUCAGCUAUUUUUCACUAGGGUGUUUGUUCUCUCUUACUGAUUCCUUCUCUCUCCUUCUAUUUUGCACCAGCUGUAUUCAUUUACAUGUUAUACUUUAAAGAAACUUUGAUGUAUUUCCUCUCAGCUGCAGGUUGGAAGCUGAAUAUCUAGUUACUUGCAGGCAAGAGAGCAAAAGAAGCAAUGAAAAUUAACUGUUAGCAAAUUAUCUAUUUAAUAGAACAACAACAACAACAACACAAAACAACUUGUUUCUGGACCAAAAGGCAGGGCAAUCCUAGAGGUUGCCAAUACAGGUUGGACAGAAAACAUCAGGUCCAGCUUCUAAGAAAGGACUGGUCAAGAUUCCAGAAAAUGUGGCCACACCUACUAGGCUGAGACAGAAAGCAAGAAAGGACUUUGUCUCUGCCCCUCCCCACCUAUGCCUCCAACACAGGGAGAAUAGUUGAAGGUAGAGACAGGACUGUAGGCAGGCCUGGGAGAGGCAAGACUGGUACUUAGCCUGAACACAAAGAAGAGCAAAUAUGAAGGGGACUCGAGGCCAGAAAUUGUCCCAGAACUCCAGCCUGGGGCAAAGUAGAGGGUCCCAGGGAACUGAGCAAUCAGAAGAUCAAAACCAGGAGAAUGCCCUAAAGACACAAAGCUCUGAAGACAGAGAAGGGAAGCAUUUAAUCCUCUUCCUGCUAACAGGCCCCAGAUGCAGUUAGCUGGCAUCCACAUUGCUGCUGGUAAGCAACCCACCACUCCCAGAAUUUGAUAACACUGUCUCCACCCUGGCCACACUUCCCCACCCCCUUUCCCUUCACUCUACUCAAACUGGCAAAAUAAUGAAGGGGAGCAUGUAAGCACAACAGGAGAAUGUGGACAAAAAUAUUUGAAAAGUGAACAAGGUAGACCUAAGUGUUCAGAAGUGGAUACAUGGAUUGCCCAGCCACCCUGGCCCUGUAAAAGUUCAUUCUCAUGCGGACAUCUUACAGCCAAGGAAACAAGCAGUUGGUGAGAUAGCAUCCCCACAGAACGAAGAUGAAUAGGGCCACCUGCUGCAGGGUUUGGCAGCUAAAGACAUCUUGGGGGGGGGGGUGUACCCAAAGUAAUGUUCUCUCUCAGAAAAUAUAACUUUGCAGUGUUGCUGUUUUUCCUGUUUUUCAUGUUCUAUGUUUGGCUGCCAGUGGGAGGCAGUGGGUGUGAGAGGGAGAAGGAAGGGCUCUGAGAAGACAAGACAGUUGGCUUGAAAAUACUGCUGAAAACCUGUGGGCUUGGGGAUUUACUUUUUUCUUCUGUCCCCAUCCUGAAGGGGAUAGACAGGGAAAGGCUGGGCCUGACCCAGGGAAAUGGGGGUCAGAUAAUGGGUUAACAAAGCAGAGGCUCUGACCCACCUACACUUCUGCUUCAGCCCAGUUAGUAUAGUGCCCCUUCAUGUCCUUCCUUCCUCUUGGUCACAUACAGCCCUGUGGAUCGCAGCUGCCCAUGUCUGUACAGAUCUACAAGAGGCCCACAGCCUCUGAUGCAAGAGCAGAGGUCACUGACCCUCUUGACUGAUGGUGUUCCUGUUCACUUUCCAUCUUUGUAGAUCCUGGACCGCUCCUACCUGCCCUAUUCUUACCUUGACCUACCUCCUUGGGUUUGAUCUACAGAUUAUAUGGAAAGUGUUUCUCAACAGUAGCACUAUUAACAUUUUGGGCCAGAUAAUUCUUUGUUUGGGAGGCUGCCACAGGUUGAAUUCUGUUCCUCCAAAAAGAUUAUGUCGAAGCCUUAAUCUCUAGUACCUGAGAAUGUGACCAUCUUUUGGAAAUAGUGUCAUUGCAGAUGUAAUUUGUUAAGAUGAGGUCAUAUUGAAACUGGGUGGGCUUUAAUCCAAUAUGACUGGUAGCCUUAUAAAAAAUGGUCUGUGGCCUUGGAAACCGUUCUUAUUAAGAUGGUCCAAAAGUGAAGGAAGAGGCCCCUGCCCCCAAGCCAAAGCCAAAGCAAAGGCUUUGAAACCUAAGAAAGCAGUGCCGAAAGGUAUCCAUUGUCACACAAAAAAAGAUCUGCAUGUCACCUACCUUCUGAAGACCAAGACACUGUCUCCAAAAGCAGCCCAUAUAACCUUGAAAGAAGGCCCUCAGGAGAAACAAGCUUGACCACUAUGCCAUCAAGUUCCCUCUAACUACCCACUCAGCCAUGAAGAAAACAGAAAACAACAGCACACUUGUGUUCACCUGGAUGUCAAGGUCAACCAGCACCAGAUCAAACAGGCUAUGAGGAAGUUCUAUGACAUUGAGGUGACCAAGGUCAACACCCUGAUCAGGUCUGAUGGAAAGAAGAAGGCAUAUGUUUGGCUCCUGACUAUGAUGUUUGGAUGUUGCCAACAAAAUUGGGAUCAUCUAAGUUGAGUCCAGCUGGCUAAUUCUAAAUAUAAAUUUUUUCACCAUAGGAAAAAAAAAAAAGAUGGCCAUG
rnacentral:lncRNA from 1 species